AUUACACUCAAUCAUAUAAGACAUAACUGAAUAAAACACUUUAACAACAUUCUCUAUUUAUACAUAAAUAUUAAGUACUAUAAAGGAAAUAAUUAAUAAACUUAAGUAGUGUUUAACCCACGUACCUUGUGCAUUAUGGUUUUACAAGCUAAUAAUUUAAAAUAAAUUCCCGAAUUCUACACGAGCUGCCCUUAUAUAGCUUAGAGCCCACUACUAGUUGUAGCACCAACUUUAGAAAAUAUAUUAGCAGAGGCUACAUACCAUACGCGUUAGAAAAUUGCUGGUUCUUGAUAAAAUUUAUUAAUUAAAACAUAUAGCAACCCCUAUAAUGUAAGAUUUCAGAGGAUAAGCCCUAAAAUCCCAUGCUAAAUAACUUAAACCAAUAAAUAUCUAGGCUUAAAAACAGCCAUUAACAGUACUUCACCGUACUCCUCAUAUAAUAAAUAAAUAUACUGCAUCAUAAAAUCAAGAUUUAAGAAAAAUAAUAAAUCUUAAAAUAUUAUGUAAAAAUAAGUAUUAGAAAAUAAAUAAUAAAAUAACUAUAAAUGAGAUAUAUAAUUAUCAAACAAAAACUUAUAAAGGAACUCGGCAAAUUAUUAUUUCGACUGUUUAACAAAAACAUUGCUUCUUGCACACAUAUAAGAAGUAAU
rnacentral:rRNA from 1 species